UCUGCGACGACGAACACCAACAAAGCCUAAAACACAAAUUCUCUCACAUCUGCACCAAAAACCCUAAACACAUACUUCCUUUUCACUUUCUCUCUACGACGACGAACACCAACAAGGGUUCCUUCUCUGAGCGUAGUCUCUGCGACGAACGAACAUGAAUAGGACUUCCGAUUCAACUACCGCUUUUGGUCUUCUGAUUCCAAGGUUAGUUCCAUUUCGAUUUUGGUCUUUUCUUCAUUCUCCAAUGGAUUCUCAUUCCAAUUUCGUGUUCGUCGCUGUGGGUUUUCUCCUCAUCUUCAUCCAUUGACUAAUCUGUGGAUUUUCAAUUUCGUGUUCCAAUUUUGUGUUCGUCGCUGCCACUACCAUCUUCGAAUUCAUUCGCUGUGGGUUUUCUCCUCAUCUAUUGUGCCGACACUUCUUAACCUACAGGUAUCUCUCUUUCUUCAGUAUGUAGCUCCAAACUUAUUUAAUCUCAAUUUUAUGUGUUGUGUGAUGUUGUGUUUUCUUAAGUUCAAUUUGUUUUGUAAAUCUAGUUUAGAUUUAGUUUCUAUAAGUAGAUUUGCAUAAGAUUGUGUAAGUUAAAUUUGUGUGAGUGUGUUUAUGUGCUGCAAUUAAGGUAAAUUUCCCUCGGUGGUGUUUCUGGAAAAUUUCCUCAGUAUUAUAAUGCAUAUUAUGAUUUGGUGGUAACUACAACUGUACAACUGUGACACGGUCGUAGAAUGUUAUUAUAAUCUG
rnacentral:lncRNA from 1 species